CACAUGGUCCAACUCGUGCAGCUCCACAGCUCUCUGCAGGAAACCACAUGCUGACCAGAACUUCAUUCCUUUAUGAAAAUCAAGUGAAAUGCGAGUCUCCACCAGUUCACACCUGUCAGUUCUAAUGCAAUAAAAGACACAAGCUAUGCCUGUGCAAUGCCAGAUCCGGAACCACAGUUGAAAUAGAACUGACCAUUAAUGUGUUGAUCAGUGUGGAGUUCUGCAUGGCAGAUUCUGGGGAUUCAUUUGUAGGACUUACGUGCAAAUUGGACCAGGAUAUGAUGUGCAUUUAGGCACAGAUUCAAUUCAGCCUCAGUGCACUUCAUCUGUAAAAAAAAAAUAUUCAAGCGAGCAUUUGAUUCUUUUGAUUCUUACAGACAUUUUCCUUUUUUCCAGUCACCUGUUCUCUGAAGUUAUUGACCCUCGUUCCUUAAGCAUGCUUUGAUAGCUGAACAGUGACUCUCAGCCUUUCCUGUUGUGUGUACUGAAUUCAUGUGUGUUUCGUGACUCACAUCUUGGGGAGUCGCUCUGGAUAAGAGCGAUAUCAUGAAACACUCUUCCCAGAAGCUACAGAGUGUACAGUCAACUCUCCAAAACUGAAUAACUUCAGUUAUACUUCAGAAUACGUCCAUAGUUCUCUCAAUGUGCCAGCAAGUACAGGAAUCUCCCUGCAGAAUUUGCUCACCAGAUAUACAUUAUGCUUCACUUGCAUGUUUUAACACUAGGUGGCACUGUUUGCCAAGGACAUGCUUUUACGGCCUUUGUGCUGUUGUAUUUUUAUUCACAUUGGCCUUAACGGAGUAUUUUUUUGUGACAGUGCAUUUCAUAAUGUACAGAAUUAUUCCUUAUUGUACAGUAUUAUUCCCAACAUUUUACCCAAAAAGCUGGAUUUUUUUACCUUACCUUCAGUCUUUAAAGUGAAAGCCUCAAGUGCCAUACAUGUGCUGCCCUGAAAUGAAUUAUAACAGAAGAGAAGGGUGUGACGGAGUCUGGCACUGACCAGAACUUUUAAUGACCCAAACUGUCAAAUCAAGUGACAUCCUGCAGCUGGAGUAAAACCUUGUGGAGGUUGAAAGUCUGCUGAUCAGACAGGGGGUGGUGGUGACGGAUGGUACAGUAAUAAAUUGUUUUAACCUAAAAAAAAAACUUCCUGCGCAGAAUUAAAGAAGGCUGUGUGGGCGGAGACCAAGAAUUCUUAGGAAAAAGCUUCAGAUGUUUCAGAAUGAAAACCAGUGGACACAGAGCUCUUAACGCACUGCACAGACCCUUGCCAGGAAAUUGACUACGUUUGCAGAGAUAGCAUGUUCUUUAUAUAAAGAUGUGAAACGUUUGGAGUGCACAAAGUAGUGAGCUAGUGGAACUGUAGUCUCAGACUCGCAUGAAGUGAUGUGGCUCUGAAGUGGCUGAACAGCAGGUCUGUUUUAUGGCUA